GGGGGGUGGGGGGGGUGGAGCCAAACAAGGUAAAUCCUGUUCCUGCCUUGUGGAUUGCCCCGUAGUGUCACCCUCCGGGAUCUCUGCUUACUAGUCACUCUUGCUUGUGCCUUUUACACCUUCUCGGUGCAGAUUCUAUAAUGGGGAGCUGCCUCAGAUUUCCUGACUGGCCAGAAUGGCUGUUACUGAGGUUACCUUUGCCCACCCUUGUCACCCUCUCCUUUGACGGCCCUAAACCAGUCCAUGAACCUGAGUCACCGGAUGGCCUGACCUGUCACAGAGCUGCCAGCGGAGCCCGCCCGCUGGCCCCGGGGCAGCGUGGCCUCCGUGUAGGAGCAGCCGCUAGGCUCCUGCGGGCUCCUCGCUGCUGGUGAUCACGUGCUUUUCAGUGGGUUGGUCGGAGGUAGCCGCCUGACCUGAGGCCUCCACACAGAGGACCGGUUCCUUAACCCGGAGAUCUUCUCGUGUGACUGAUCUUCCAUUAAACACAGGAUGACUUAGAUUGCUUGCUUGGGCUGGAAUGUAAAAGUCUCUUUGCCUGAAUAAGCCAUAUAUGCUCUUAAACAAAAGUGUUCAGUUACCCGUAUCCUAUGAUCUCAGUGAACCUGCUGACGGACUCCCAAUUGACAAGAUUGAGCAAUAGAAAAAAACUUUUCCUUUAAAUGAUAGCUGUGAUUCCCCGACCCCGUUUUCUUGCUUCUGUAACUUCUCCGGUGACUGAGGCAUCUGGGAGGUCAGCUCUCGGGCACCUUUGUUCAGUGACGCUCUGUCUGAAUAAAUGGCACCCGUGAGGUAGGUCAGCUCUCAUGGCUGUGAAGAUAAACCCCACGCACUCAAGGUGAUGGAAACAAACCCCCCACGAGGGCUCUGUCCUCUCCUAGUUACUAUUUAUUUUCAGCACCUGUUCGAUGCGGUUUUUUAUUCUCUACCUAUUGCACUGUUGUGACUUGUUGGCCAUUGUUUGAUUUUUGUACGAAAAAAAGCUUUGUUAUAGAAAUCAGCAUACUAUUUUUUUAAAUCUGGAGAGAAGAUAUUAUGGUGACUGAAAAUAUGGUCAGGUGUCAAAUAUAAACGUAUAAAAGCCUUCUUGCUGUCCUGUCGGUCAUAUUACACUUAUUUUAUAUUUGCUGGCAAUAUCGAAGGUUUCUUUUUUGUUUGUGUAAACUCUAAUUUCUAUCAAGGUGUCAUGGAUUUUUAAAAUUAGUAUUUCAUUACAACUGUCUCCGCAUUCGUUAACUAAUUUUUGCCAGGACCAUUAUUGAUCAAACAAAUAAAUUCGACAGCCAUUUGAGGAAAAACAAACCAACAAACAAAAGCAUCUUGUUUUUUUGUGCACCUUCUUUCUUUGAAGUAGCGUCCUGUGGCUGACAAGGAGUUGGUCUGAUACUGCUUCCAAGAGUGAACUAACCUUCUGUUCGGACUCUCCGUGUGUUCCUCGCCCCGGUGGACUUGGUGCCCCUUGCUGGUUUCUAGGGUUUACUGUGCUCCUUCCCAAUAGGUGCUUACCUGCUGAGGGAGCACGUCUGCACAGCCAGCUGACCGGGAUCGGGUCUGCAGCUUCUUCUGUGAGCGACGUCCUGUGGACAGUGGAACGUGCCCUUCGAAAAUGUCGCGCAGGAGUUUGCGUGGUGCUUAGUGGCUGCAGACACGCAGUUAAAGCUUUUGAGAGGUUCCGCGCACCGUGGAGCUACUGUGAUCGUAAGCAGGAUAAUGCUGAGCGCACUUAUCCGGAGUGCACUUCGGAGCCCUUGUUCCCAAGACCCAAGUCAGUCAACAAAGAUUUCCCUGUCGAAGGAGUCAAGUAAGGGCCGCCUGGGUGGCUCAUUCGGUCAAACGGCCGACUCUUGAUCUCCGCUCGGGUCAUGAUCUCAUGGUUUGUGGGUUCGAGCCCCGCAUUGGGCUCUGCACUGACAGCGUGGAGCCUGCUUGGGAUUCUCUCUCUCCACCCGCCCCCCCACCCCCCAGAAAAAAAUAAAAAUUAAAAAAAAUUUUGUUUUGAAGGAGUCACUUAAGCCAGUUGGCUUGUACACAGACCUCAUGUAGCUGGAGUGUCAACCUUCACAUGAGUGUCGAUCCAAGUGCAGGGAGCACAGACACCGCCUUGCUCAGCUGCCGGAUAACUGAGGGCUUUCCUAUCAUGGAGCCCAUCUUUGGCGAGAGAGCUGAGGGUUUUUAGUUGUCAUUGGGCAGCUAAUUGCUUUAGCGGCAGAUUCUUCAGUAUCUUCAGAGUUCAGGAGAGGUUCCUGAUCAUAGCUUCAUUUGCACUUAGCACAGUGAGUAGGGGAAUCUGGUGAAGGACGUGAAUUUGGAAUCGAUUACGCCUCCUGGAAAUUCUGGUUUGAGUCUGUGGCUCGGGACUGGACAGCUGACAGCCAUGAAGGCCAGUCUAAUUUCUGGAUCUGUAGGCUGCUCAGGUGGUUUUAUUCUAGUCAACAUCUUGUGUCUGUUUCUUUGUCCAGAGCAUGGAGGCAAGGUCCCCCGGGUUUGGGGUUAACUGGAGACAGGGAGAUGGAGCCUGAGGGUUAGGGAGCCUGACAGGAUUGAGGGGGCUGAGCUUGUUCCAGAGAAACUGAGGCAUCGGGAAUCAGAGAGACAUUUGUGAGGGACAGAACUAUAGGCUCACCAGCAUCGUGGCAAAUCCCACAGUUGUUUGGAUGCGAUUACCCGCUUGGGAGAACUUUCUGGGCCAGAGGCAAGGCAAAAAAGGCCGAAGAAAAGAAUCCUAAAGACCUUCAUGAUGUAAGAAUUGGGAAAAGGAUGGCCAGAGAGGGAAGGGGGAGUAGAAGGAAACACUCUUGGCCCUGUGUCUUGGGAUGAUGUUGGCUCGAUGACGGCUACUUGCCUUCCUGGUCCGUUUUAUCUUGAGGUCUCCAGCAUUUGCACAGGACUGGAUGUCAGGUGGGGCCAUCUUGUGAAAUAAACACCCAGGGUUCAACGCCUUGCAGUUUGGCAGCACAGAGUACCUGGCGGGGCCUGUCCACGAAUCUCACUGUUACAGAAGCAUCGGAGUAGAGCAACGGUUUGUAAAUGACAGAAGACUUCAACGGGCCCGUGCUUAAGGAGCCGACGGGUUCACCGGAGAAGGAAGUGGAGUUAAUUCUGUGGCAUACGAUCAUUUAGGGUAAUAACUGGACACUGAGAGCUUUGACAGAUCUCUAGAAACUUCGGUUUUCUGGUACAUCCACGCACAUAUAACCUGAGGUUUACUGUACACACAAACCCAAAGCAUUUGACAGCGCUUCCCACAUAUUUGAACAUGUUAAAUUAAUGAGAGAUAGCCUUUGAAAUCUUCCAGGAGCCCUCUGGGAUAAAUCUCAAGCUAGUUUAAAGUUAAAAAGACUAUUGAGAAUUUUAAGAAAAUGUUAAAAGAUUUGAACAUUUGAUUAAACAGGGUAACAGAUAAUUAUGAAAUAAUUGUAUAACAAAAGUGGCAAUAGGAGACGUUAAGGUAGGGGCGCCUGGCCUGGGUGGCUCAGUCAGUGGAGCAUCCGACUUUGGCUGAGGUCAUGAUCUCAUGUUCGUGGGUUCGAGACCCACGUCGGAUCCUGUGCUGACAGCUCAGCCUGGAGCUGUCUUUGGAUUCUGUGUCUCCCUCUCUCUGCUCCUCCCCUGCUUAUGCUCUCUGUCUCUCAAAAAAUAAAACUUUAUAAUUAAAAAAAAAUGUUACGGUAAAUAUAGAAAAUCAAGGUAAAUACAGGUGAACAAAAGUUAGCUUUCUCAGUAUGACAAAGACUGGAUUUUCUUAAGUAAUCAAAGACCUGAUACAAGACUGUAGAAAGCACAGUAAUGUAUUUGGGAAAGAAAACAAUCUUUGCUAUCCAAAGGUUAAAAAAAGAACCACAAAACAACCUUUGCAGCAGUUGCUUAGGUUAUUAGUAGCAGACCAAUAAUCUAAGAAAACUUUGUCCUCUUAACGGAGAGAAAACCAAAUUCUAAUUUUGUACCAGUGUACUUUUGAUAUUAAAACUCAUUUUUUAAAAAACGUUAAUAAGUCUAUUCCAAUCUUAGCCAGCUUGACCACAUGUAAAAUCCUGCCAAGAUUCUCUUUCCACAAACCUACAACUUUUUUCUAUCCAUUCAGAUUUUGUCCUAGGUUUUCUCUUUUAAUUCUGGAAAAUUCAACCAAUCAUUUUACUUUCCUUACCUAUUUUCCAUACACAGAUGUUUCCUUCCGCCCUUACAAUUUCUAAGUAGCUUUAAUUACACACAUUGAGAAGAACUUGGAAGCCUUAGAUCUUUCGUUCCUAGUGAAAACUAAGUAGUAAGCAAAUGUGGACCGUAAAGCCUGCAUUCUGUGGACUGGCAAAUUUAUAAAUACAUUUUCAAAGUUGCUAAAAGCAUAUUCUUUCUCUUGGUAAAAUUUCCAACGCAGCACAAAAACGGGUUUACUGAUAGAUCCGAAUGUCUUCACCUCCUCUGUAAAAGGAAGCCAAAGUGGUUAAAACCUUUGUUGAGUCAAUGUUUUGGUAUUUUUAUCUUAUUUGGAAAGUGAUCUAGAUCCUCCAUGAAUAUCCGUUAUCUGUCUCAGUAUAACUUUAAGGCUUCAAGUUACCAAAAAGAUUUUGAAAACUACUUUUAAGUAGACAUACCAAAAAGCACAGUUGUUGUUGAAAAGUUCAUUUAUAAAGUUUUAUCUUGCAUCUAUUUUAAUUCACUUGCCCUUAACAAUUUAGACCAGUCAUUGAAAUUUUCCUGAUAUUAAGCAGCUAACCACCAUCUUAUCUUUCUUGCUGACAAAAUCGGUAACAGAGAUAAUGUGAGCUUAUUUGAUGUUUAAGUAAACUAAGGUAGAAUAAAAGUUACACGUACAGAUUAUAUUUAAUGUUAGCAACUCUAAAGACAUGCCUUUUGAGUUAAACCAGCAAACUUAAACUAGCUUUUAUUUACUGAAGAUUAUCCUAGAUCACAUGAACUAGAAAAUCAUUUGGGUUAGUUCCUGUAUUUCUGAGAGGAUACUUGAUUUACAUAAUAUUUGUCUGUCUUUAAGCCAAUUAAAUAGGGCUCUUUACAAAUUAAUUUUGGCAACACCUUUUGGAGCUAAAAAAGAAAUCACGUUUAUAACAUACAUUGACAUACAUAAACCUACAGAUGCAAACAGAUCUUGUAGCUUUCAUUUUAAGAUUUUAGCCCAGAUAGCUAAAUAAUACAAAACUCACUAGUUUACAAAAGAAUCAAAUUUUGUUUCUGGCAGAAUGGAGUAAGUUAAGGUUACCUGCUCAGAUGGCUUAAGCUUUUCACUAAUAUCUGUGCAGAAGAUGUUAAAAUAGUUUUCUUUCCUGACAAGCAUUACAUCGGGGAGACCAGGUAGAGAACUCUUCCAUCUCAAAGGCACAGAGAACGAAUGCAAGUUCCGCUGAGAAGGACUUUUGUUCCCUAAGUCCGCAUCUUUCACAAUACCUGCAGGCCUUCUGAGGUGAAGGGGGGCGGUUUUAGGGUUCAUGAAAAUGACAGGUGAGCUUUAGACUGUUUCAGAGCCACGUUUCUAGUCUUGUGAAGGCUCAAUCUGUAAGGCAAACAUGUUUUUAUUUAUUUUUUAAAGUUUGGUUUUAGCAAUCUCUACACCCAGUGUGGGGCUUGAACCCAUGACGCUGAGAUUGAGCCGCUCACUCUUCUGAGCCAGCCAGGCACCAGAAGUACGGUUGUUUUGAAUUCCUUAAAGAAUUGGGUUGCAAUUAGAAUGAUACCAAGAGGCUGCCCCACCCAUCCAGCUACAUUAUCUUUUAAAAAAAUUUGUUUUUAGAGUGUGAGUGGCGGGUGGGACGGGGUGGGGGCAGAGAGAGAGGAUUCCAAGCAGGCUCCAUGAUCAGCCGGAGAGCCUGAUUCAGGGCUUGCUCCCACGACCCUGGGAUGUGACCUGAGCUGAAAUCAAGUGUUGGAUGUUCGACUGAGCCACCCAGGUGCCCCCAACUAUAUUAUCUUCAAUUUGCCUUUUUUUUUUUUU